CCAAUCUUCCUCACCAAAAAAAAAAAAAAAAAAGAAUUUCAUGUCUAAAUAAAGUGUGUGAAAGUAUACGGUAGAUAAAAACAGGUUCUAUUCUUGGGGGAGAAUGCAAGAAAGAGAGAUAUGUCUUUACCUGGAGUAUGACGUUGAACAUUUCCCUCUUUACUCCUUGAAAGAGUAUAUUGCAGGUCAAAACCCAAUUAUUUUAGGGAACAGAACAGCCUUCCCCGGUUUUCAGAGUUUACCUCCACAUCCCCUGCACAGCUCAACUGGAGAGAUGCUUUAUGCUCAGGCACUCCUGCAGGGAAAUGGACUUUUCUCUUGGUCAUUGUCUUAAUUGAUGUUAAAAUAAUAGAGCACUAUGUGCUCCAAAUAACUCUUUUAAAAAUGAGAUGGUGUAGCAAGAGGUUAAGUGAGGGAAUGUUAUUAGCAAAAAUCAAAUAACUCCAAAACUUUGAAGGGCAUCUGUCAAGAGCGAUCUACCUGGAAAGGAGCCUACCUAGGAAUUUGGUCACCUCUGGGUAGUGGCACCCCGUGGACGACAACCCAGGGGUUUCCUGCUCCUAUUUAUUGAAUUUCUUCUGUUAUUCUCUGGGUCUCUCUGCCUUUGCCCAAAGAACAAGGAUGGAUGCAUACAAGAAGCUGAGAACAAGAAUGUCCAGUUCUUGUCCUCUAUGUGCAGAAAGUGCGAAAAUCCUCAGCCCAAACACGAGACGGGAGUGGAUUUGGGGAAAGAUGCGGUGGCCAUCACUGGUUCCUGUGAUGAGCCUCUAAGCUGGAGAAGGGGAGAGAGCUGGAGAAGGACUGAGACAGUUACAUUCCAGAACAGAGGGCCUUGCAGCCCACUGCACAGCUUGAGCCACGCCAUUGCUGGGCUAGAGGAGGACGAGAGAAGUGCCACACAUUCGGAGGUUGCUCGAGUAGAGGCACUCCAUGCCUUGUUUUUAGUCUGGAAUUCUCUUCUGUAGCAAUAGAAUUGAUAAUGCAGUGUAUUUCAAUAUAAACACACCAUUUGUUUUCCUUUUUAAUGGGAAUUGUGGAAAUCGAGUUUGUAAGGAUCUCUGUGUUCAUAGGGCACAAACCAUCCAGACAGUACAUUUGUGUGUGAAAUUGCUUGUUUUAUGAAUCCUGAUUAUUAAUAGUAAUAAUAAUAAACAACUCAUUUGACUAUGCUAGAGGAAAAAAUUAAUUAUCUUCUAGUCUCUCCAUUUUAAAUCAAAUCAUGGAAACAAAUUAUGAGUGAAAAAAGGUAGGAAAAAGUAGCGUAGAGGUGAGAUGGGCAAUUAAUGAUUAAGAAUAUUUGUUACUUUUCUGGAUUUUCUGUUUGUGGUAUUUGUCAGCUUUGUAAAAUUAGUGAUUUGUUGAGAAUAAGUGUUCAUGUUUGUACUUAAUUUUUGUAUGUAAUUUUGUAUUGCAUUCUUUUUCUUAAAGAAGGCCUCUAAAAUGGUUUAAUAUGCUGUCCCCCAAAAUUGUAUUUGCUUCUGAUUCAGUGAUAGAAAAAAAGAAUAGUGAUCUUUAGACAUCGAAUUCACGUCUCAAAAAUACACCUAUGAACAUCUCAAUAUGCAAAAUAAAUGUUAUUUUGUUGUUUGCGGAAAUAGCGUUUAAACUUUUUCUAGCUUUUUCCUAACAGUACUAAAUGCAGCUUCCCUCAAGGACAUCAGCUAUCUUUUCCAGGAGACGCUGUGGUGUGGGGAAAGAGAUGUGGUCCAGAGACAGGAAAACGUUUACAUUGCAGGCUGCCCCGAGCAGCAGCAGGCCCUGAGAAAGUUGCUGGCCUUUUCUUAGCCUCCGUUCUCGUCAGUUCCGGGAUGAUGCCUAAGGACGCCUUCAUGAACCAGUCCACCACCAGGAUCAGGCCUCUCUCUGCGGCCCGUGCCCUUCUGCCAGAUACAAAACGCUCUCAUGAAUGAAUGUUUAAUUUUCUCAAAAAAGCCUUUUUCCUGCAUCUAUCGAGAUUAUCAGUUUUCUCUCCUAUUCAGGUAAUACGGAAAAUUGAUUGAGUUUUAUCCUGUUAAACUUUGUUUUACUGGGAUAAAUGCCACUUGCUUGUGGUGUAUUAUGCUUCUUAUCUAUGCUGGAUUCAACCUGCUAAUGUUUUGGUAAUGUUUUUUGUGUUUAUGAUCUUGUGGGAUACUGGUCUAUGGGUUUCUUUUCGGUGUGAUGUGUUUGGUUUUGAUCUUAGCAGGAGUGCCCCCAGAGUGUAUGGGGCUCCAGGCAAAUAUUUUUUGCCAGGCUUUUUGUCUAUAUAAACAAUUUGAUUAACAGUGAAUUACAAAAUUCAUGGGCCUCUGUGAGGUACAGUGAAGAUUUACAAAAAAUAGUUAGAAAAGAGAUACUUAUGUAUUUAUUGUGUGAUCAGUGCUCAUGGAGUUCCUUUGUAGUAUCCAUCGCUUCCUAUUCAGGUCCAGGAACCAUCUCUUCCAGUUUUUUACCAUCAAAUGCAUUGCUUCUGGCUUAUUUCCCAUGUCCCAUACAGAGAAAAUGUAGCAAUGUUGUUGUUACUCACACAGCGGGAACCUGUUUGCAUAGAAACACAGAUCCUCUUACCUCUGCAAUUCAGUACAUCCAUGUAUUUACUGCUGAUUACAGCCUUCCUCCUGAGGCCACAUCGUCCAUGAAUACUGGCUUCCAUGAGACUCAGGAGAAACUGUUACCAUCCUUUGUUGGUGAUGACCACAAUGAGGGGCUUACCCAACGUGUGCAGGAAGAUGGAGCAGAUGUGAGGAGCCUGUGGGUAAAGCAAGAAGAGUGGUCUCAUUUGUGCAAGGAAAGUCCCGUCUCAUCUGGCAAGACAAAAACUGUCCCGAGAGAUCACAACCGCACCAAUCGGAGGCAGGAGAGAACAGAGUGCAGAAGGGCAAUGAGCCAUGCAGAGUAAGCCCCAGGAGCCCCCGGAGGAGGCAGCUGCUUCCAGAGGACUGCCUGACAUGUUGUAUGGAGCCUGGAGAAGGGAUUGGGUGACCAACCUGGGUGGUAGGAGUGGGGUGUGCACAGGGUAAAGCAUUCCUGCCAUCACGGGUAGAAGACCCCCGCUGCCUUUAGCUGCUGUGGCCAUGGGCGGCCUCCGUCUGAAUGUAGACGCCGCAGAGUCAAGGCAUGGGUCCAAAUACGUGGUUUGCUCUUGACUGUUUAUUUGGUCAGAAGAUUCUAGCUUCUUAUUGACGUAUUUCCAUUUAAUGUAAUUAUUGAAUGGUUGAGUUUAAAAUGGUUGGGUUAGAACAGUUUAAAAUCAAAACUUGUGAUUUAUUUUCUAUUUGUACCAUCUGUUUUAUGUUUCUUUUCCCCUCUUCUUCUUGCUUUCCAUUAGAUUAUUCUUUAUUAACUUUCUUGAGAAAUAAUUCAUGUAUAAUAAACUGCUUUCUCUUGA